GACAGGGGGCUCGAGCGUUAAUCGGAAUCACUGGGCUUAAAGGGUGCGUAGGCGGACCAGUAAGCGUCCCGUGAAAUCCCCCGGCUCAACCGGGGAACUGCGGGGCGAACUGCUGGUCUAGAGGAAGCUAGAGGCGGGUAGAACGAUAGGUGGAGCGGUGGAAUGCGUAGAUAUCUGGAGGAACACCGGUGGCGAAGGCGGUUCUCUGGGCAUGAUCUGACGCUGAGGAGCGAAAGUGUGGGGAGCGAACAGG
rnacentral:rRNA from 1 species